rnacentral:tRNA from 1 species
GCGCUUAUAGCUCAGGCGGAUAGAGCGAUGGAUUCCUAAUCCGUAGGUCGCAGGUUCGAGUCCUGCUAAGCGCACCA